GGAUGUGCCUCAAGUGGUAGUGCGCUCGCCUACCAUGCGUGAGGCACUGGGUUCGAUUCUCAGCACCA
rnacentral:tRNA from 1 species